GGCUGUUGCUUAUCAGCAAACCAUUCAACAUCCGAACAUGCCCAGUGCCGAGUUUCCUUUUGGUAUCUACAUACAAGGAAAAGAACUGAAAUACAAAAAGCGCCUCUUCUCCCCCUUUGCAAAAGAAAAAAAAAAAAAAAAAAAAAAAAAAGGAAACUUACAGGCACUUUUAGAAAACUGGCCUAUAGGCGGACUAGAACAGGACACCUUUGUGCGGCCCGGCGGCCGGGCGCUGGUUGCGGAGGGGAGGAGGCUCCCCACCCGCAGACACUCCCCCGGGAGCGGGGCCUCAUGGGAAAGGGGGCCGGCGGGGGUGGGGGGGCUCCCGUGUGCGAGCCCCGGAGCAGCCCGGACCCCAGCAUCCUCUGCCCCCACGCGCCGCGCCCCCGCCCCCGCCCCCAGCUCGCGGCCCGAGAUGGAUCAUUCCCCCCCAAAUAAAUAAACAAAUCCAGCCGCGGCCAGCACCCGGUGAGGCGAGCGUGGCGCACACCUGAAGGCUGGUCUGUGAUUCACGGCAGAAUGGAUCACCAUGUAAACACUCCUAGGAAGUGAGUAAUUACUCUUCACCCUGACGCCGUUUGCAGGAAAAGCACGCCGAUGGGAUGCCACACUCACCCAAAACCUCAGUCAACUAUAUUUAUGAGUUUACAUUCAUUUGAUGAAUUACGACAGGCACACCUGUUUGGCUUCGUGGACUGCAGACACCGCCAGGGAAUGGUUGAGCAGAAAACUGCGUGAUCCCAAGGGAUGGCUGAAGGAUAAGACCCAAGAGAGCAAAGGGCAGGGUGGAGACUAACUAGAAUGGGAAGAGAACAUAACAUUGUCCUCAGGUCAGACAUCUAAAGUUAUGGAAAAUUGUGCCACUAAAAUAAGAGGUAACUUGCUUCAUUAUCACAUCAAAUUGCUUUCAUGCAAACUCAUCUUCCAGCUCCCUGCAAACAACACUGCUUGAUACAAAAACAGACAGAAAAGUGAAGCUUCCCUGGAGCUAUCAACACCUGGCAAACCUGAAGUCUGAAUUUCACUUCUUCUACAUCUCCCUAUGAAAGCUGUGCGGG